rnacentral:rRNA from 1 species
AUUGAACGCUGGCGGCAGGCCUAACACAUGCAAGUCGAACGAGUGGCGGACGGGUGAGUAAUGUCUGGGAAACUGCCCGAUGGAGGGGGAUAACUACUGGAAACAGUAGCUAAUACCGCAUACCAACGGCUAGGCGCAGAUGGGAUGGGCUAGUAGGUGGGGUAACGGCUAAACUAGGCGACGAUCCCUAGCUGGUCGGAGAGGAGGACCAGCCACACUGGAACUGAGCAACGGUCCAGACUCCUACGGGAGGCAGAAGUGGGGAAUAUUGGACAAUGGGCGCAAGCCUGAUGCAGCCAUGCCGCGUGUAUGAAGAAGGCCUUGGGGUUGUAAAGUACUUUCAGCGAGGAGGCGUUACUCGCAGAAGAAGCACCGGCUAACUCCGUGCCAGCAGCCGCGGUAAUUC